GUAGGUGGCAAGCGUUGUCCGGAAUUAUUGGGCGUAAAGCGCGCGCAGGCGGUUCUUUAAGUCUGAUGUGAAAGCCCGCGGCUCAACCGUGGAGGGUCAUUGGAAACUGGAGAAAUUGAGUACAGAAGAGGAAAGCGGAAUUCCACGUGUAGCGGUGAAAUGCGUAGAGAUGUGGAGGAACACCAGUGGCGAAGGCGGCUUUCUGGUCUGUAACUGACGCUGAGGCGCGAAAGCGUGGGGAGCAAACAGGGAUUAGAUACCCUGGUAGUCCACGCCGUAAACGAUGAGUGCUAAGUGUUAGGGGGUUUCCGCCCCCUUAGUGCUGCAGCUAACGCAUUAAGCACUCCGCCUGGGGAUACGGCCGCAAGGCUG
rnacentral:rRNA from 1 species